rnacentral:lncRNA from 1 species
CCUCUCCAAGCUCUCAGCAUGGUGCUGUCCUUAGACUCAUCUGUGGGUUUGGUUCUCUAGGAUAAAUAGCUGUUAUACACCCCACUGCCCCCACCUCCCCAGACCUCAUAGCUGAGGUGGUAGGAGGAAGGAAACAUUCUCAGUUACCCCAAAUCAGACCUGCUCUAAUGUUUUGUUCUCUGUACUUAAUUGUUGGCCAGACACUCCCUUCCCUUCCAAUUAGAGGAUGUUCUUGAGUUGUUUUGCAUUCUCACCUGAUUAUAAACUACAAACUUACAGAUUUUGUCUACUGAGUCCAAGUCAGUCUACAAGAAAAAUCUUGUCCAUAGUUUGCUAAGAUGAGUGAAUAAUACAUAAAUUUUUUUG